rnacentral:rRNA from 1 species
AAUCAACGCUGGCGGCGUGCCUCAGACAUGCAAGUCGAACGAUUAAAGCUCUCUUCGGAGAGUGCAUAGAGUGGCGCACGGGUGAGUAACACGUAAGUAAUCGUACCUUCGAGUGGGGAAUAACGUCCGGAAACGGACGCUAAUACCGCAUAAUGCAGCGGCGAUCGCAAGAUGACAGUUGUUAAAGGAGCAAUUCGCUUGAAGAGGAGCUUGCGGCAGAUUAGCUAGUUGGUAAGGUAAUGGCUUACCAAGGCUACGAUCUGUAACCGGUCUAAGAGGACGGUCGGUCGACACUGACACU